rnacentral:rRNA from 1 species
UACGUAGGGGGCGAGCGUUAUCCGGAUUUACUGGGUGUAAAGGGAGCGUAGACGGCUAGGCAAGUCUGAAGUGAAAGCCCAGGGCUUAACCCUGGAACGGCUUUGGAAACUGCAGAGCUAGAGUGCUGGAGAGGCAAGCGGAAUUCCUAGUGUAGCGGUGAAAUGCGUAGAUAUUAGGAGGAACACCAGUGGCGAAGGCGGCUUGCUGGACAGUAACUGACGUUGAGGCUCGAAAGCGUGGGGAGCAAACAGG